rnacentral:rRNA from 1 species
AUUGAACGCUGGCGGCAGGCUUAACACAUGCAAGUCGAGCGGAGUGAUGGUGCUUGCACUAUCACUUAGCGGCGGACGGGUGAGUAAUGCUUAGGAAUCUGCCUAUUAGUGGGGGACAACAUCUCGAAAGGGAUGCUAAUACCGCAUACGUCCUACGGGAGAAAGCAGGGGAUCACUUGUGACCUUGCGCUAAUAGAUGAGCCUAAGUCGGAUUAGCUAGUUGGUGGGGUAAAGGCCUACCAAGGCGACGAUCUGUAGCGGGUCUGAGAGGAUGAUCCGCCACACUGGGACUGAGACACGGCCCAGACUCCUACGGGAGGCAGCAGUGGGGAAUAUUGGACAAUGGGGGGAACCCUGAUCCAGCCAUGCCGCGUGUGUGAAGAAGGCCUUAUGGUUGUAAAGCACUUUAAGCAAGGAGGAGGCUCUUUUGGUUAAUACCCAAGAUGAGUGGACGUUACUCGCAGAAUAAGCCCCGGCUAACUUCGUGCCAGCAGCCGCCGUAAUAC